UCAGUUUCUGCUGAAGAAGAAUUCAAUAUUGAAAAGUUGCAGCUGGUAGAGGCAGAGAAGAAGAAGAUCAGGCAAGAGUAUGAGCGUAAAGAGAAGCAAGUCGAUGUUCGAAAGAAGAUUGAGUACUCCAUGCAGCUUAAUGCUUCUCGAAUUAAAGUUCUUCAAGCCCAAGAUGAUGUGGUUAAUGCCAUGAAAGAGGCAGCAGGAAAUGAUCUUCUGAAUGUGAGCCAUGAUCAUCAUGUUUACAAAAAGCUUCUGAAAGAUCUGAUAGUUCAGAGUUUGCUCAGACUGAAGGAGCCUUCUGUCCUGCUGCGAUGCCGAAAAGAUGACCUGCAUUUGGUGCAGUCUGUCCUGGAUUCUGCAAAGCAGGAAUAUGCAGAGAAAGUAAAUGUUCAU
rnacentral:misc_RNA from 1 species